rnacentral:rRNA from 1 species
UACGUAGGGAGCAAGCGUUGUCCGGAAUCAUUGGGCGUAAAGCGCGCGUAGGUGGCUUCAUAAGUCCGUUGUGAAAGUCAAAGGCUCAACCUUUGAAAGCCGAUGGAUACUGUGAAGCUAGAGUACGGAGGAGGCGAGUGGAAUUCCUGGUGUAGCGGUGGAAUGCGCAGAUAUCAGGAGGAACACCAAUAGCGAAGGCAGCUCGCUGGGACGUUACUGACACUGAGGCGCGAAAGCGUGGGGAGCGAACAGG